CCUGAACGCUGGCGGCGUGGCUAAGACAUGCAAGUCGCACGGUGUAGCAAUACACAGUGGCGAACGGGUGAGUAAUGAAUCGCUAAUGUGCCCCGGACUCUGGGAUAGCUACCCGAAAGGGUAGGUAAUACCAGAUGAGACCACGAACAGGCAUCUGUUUGUGCUCAAAGGUCCGCCGGUCUGGGAGCAGGCGAUUUCGUAUCAGCUAGUUGGUGAGGUAACGGCUCACCAAGGCGACGACGCGUAGCUGGACUGAGAGGUUGGCCGGCCACAUUGGGACUGAGACACUGCCCAGACUCCUACGGGGGGCUGCAGUAACGAAUCUUCCGCAAUGCACGAAAGUGUGACGGAGCGACGCCGCGUGGAGGAGAAGCCCUUCGGGGUGUAAACUCCUGUCAGGGGUUAGAAAGUUCUGAUCAACCCCAGAGGAAGGCACGGCUAACUCUGUGCCAGCAGCCGCGGUAAGACAGAGGUGCCAAGCGUUAGGCGGAAUCACUGGGCUUAAAGCGUGUGUAGGCGGAUCGUUAAGUACCUUGUGAAAUCCCACGGCUUAACCGUGGAACUGCUCGGUAUACUGGCGGUCUUGAGCAACCUAGGGGCGAGCGGAACAAAUGGUGGAGCGGUGAAAUGCGUAGAUAUCAUUUGGAACGCCAAUGGUGAAAACAGCUCGCUGGGGGUUUGCUGACGCUGAGACACGAAAGCCAGGGGAGCAAACGGGAUUAGAUACCCCGGUAGUCCUGGCCGUAAACGAUGUCGACUAGAUCGCAGAGCCUCUGACGGCGUUGCGGUCGAAGCAAAAGUGCUAAGUCGACCGCCUGGGAAGUACGGUCGCAAGGCUA
rnacentral:rRNA from 1 species